rnacentral:rRNA from 1 species
GAGUUACUAGUAAUCGCAGAUCAGAAUGCUGCGGUGAAUGCGUUCCCGGGUCUUGUACACACCGCCCGUCACACCACGGGAGUUGGAGACGCCCGAAGCCGAUUAUCUAACCUUUUGGAAGAAGUCGUCGAAGGUGGAAUCAAUAACUGGGGUGAAGUCGUAACAAGGUAGCCGUAUCGGAAGGUGCGGCUGGAUCACCUCCUUU